CGCGUAGGCGGGCUGCCAAGUCCGGGGUGAAAUCCCACGGCUCAACCGUGGAACUGCCCUGGAUACUGGCGGUCUCGAGGGAGGUAGGGGCUUGCGGAACUAUGCGUGGAGCGGUGAAAUGCGUUGAUAUGCAUAGGAACUCCGGUGGCGAAGGCGGCAAGCUGGACCUCAUCUGACGCUGAGGCGCGAAAGCCAGGGGAGCGAACG
rnacentral:rRNA from 1 species